UUAUCAGCAGGUGGAGAGACCGUCUGGGCAGCAGAAACAAGACAACUAAUCAUAGUUGAGUUGAGAUUAGUAUUAUUAACUUGACUAGUUUGGUUGCAGACUUCUUCAAUACUUAACAAUUUGUAUAAGUUACAAGAUCAAUGGUCCUGCUAUCAAUGUUUUUGUAACUUAAAUUCAUUACAGUUUAGAUACAAUCAAAUGUCCAAACCAUCUCUGAGUGAAUGACAUCAAGGAAACAGGAUCAAAAAGAUCAUUCAUUAUAGACCGUUUCAUAGUUGGUUAUAUUUUUCAGGUCCUCCUGAUCAUUCUGUUCUCCUGGUUGUGAGGAUGUGCAGAGGCUGUAUUUGUCAGUGUUAAAAGACUUGUGCAGCUGUAUCUAGACAUACAAGCAGCCGACAAAGAGUUCUGGAGCAGGACAGACAGGGCAGCACGGUGGCGCAGAGGGUAGCACGUUUGCCUCACAGCAAGAAGGUUGCUGCUUCAAGCUUCGGCUGGAUUGGUGUACGCUGAUGGUCUGCUGAGAAUUCUGCUGAGUUGAAGGGAUCCUCCUGUCAGACAACCUCUCCAAAGUACAAUAGGACUAGGUUCCCACUACAAGGAUUAGAUUUGGCUACUGCAGUCCCGGUUUGGGCCAGCCUCACUUGUGAAGACUAAAGAUGAAGACAACAUACAAGAACAAUUUAGAGGAUGGCGACACACUUUUUAUUCCAC
ensembl:processed_transcript